rnacentral:rRNA from 1 species
UACGUAGGCAGCAAGCGUUGUUCGGAGUUACUGGGCGUAAAGGGUGUGUAGGCGGUCUCGUAAGUCCGGUGUGAAAUCUCCCGGCUCAACUGGGAGGGUGCGCCGGAAACUGCGAGGCUAGAGUGUGGGAUGGGAGAGUGGAAUUCCUGGUGUAGCGGUGAAAUGCGUAGAUAUCAGGAGGAACACCUGCGGUGUAGACGGCUCUCUGGACCACUACUGACGCUGAAACACGAAAGCGUGGGUAGCAAACAGG